rnacentral:lncRNA from 1 species
AUUCAGUUAAAUUCAUCCAAUAUUUAUUGAAUCGUGAACGGUUGCAAACGUUGCCACAAUCAGAAACCCACCCAUCCUGAUGCCUCUCUUGGCUUCCCCUUGAGAAGGAUGCCUGAGGCGGGAUGUCCCCCCAAACUCCAGGGGACAACUGGGGAAGACACAUACACACAGACUCUCCCGCUCAGAGGCAAAGACCGGGGGCGUCAAUCUCUGCCCCCAACAGCAGCCACGAGAACAUCAGGGAAAGACCAGGUGUCCACAAGACUUUUCAGUCCUUCCUAUCAUGAAGCGUCUGCUGAGAGGGGCUGGGUCAAGGUCCCUGGACUGUGGAGAGAAAAAGAGGUGGUUGGGGUAGGGAGUCAGUUUGCAGGAACAGAGGCCAGGCGUGGGGCCCAUGUUAAAAGGAAGAAAGAUAGCCGGGUGUGGUGGCUCACGUCUGUAAUCCCAGCACUUUGUGAGGCUGAGGCGGGCGGAUCACUUGAGCCCAAGAGUUUGAGACCAGUCUGGGCAACAUGGUGAAAAAAACCCAUCUCUACAAAAACUAGAAAAAUUAGCUGGGCGUGAUGGUGCACAACUGUAGUCCCAGCUACUUGGGAGGCUGUGGCAGGAGAAUCGCUUGAGCCUGGGAGGUGGAGGUUGUAGUGAGCUGAGAUCGCGCCACUGCACUCCAGCCUGGGUGACAGAGCGAGACUCUGUCUCAAAAAAAAAAAAGAAUUCAAAGCCUGCAUGGUGGCACCCCACCCCACGCUCAACAGCAACAGUCCACAAUGCAUUCAGCUGAUGCAGCUUUGGAAUUAGGCAAUUCCAUUUUUCUUUUCCUUUAUGUUAGAGGGAUUUGCUUUGUUUCAGACCUGCACAUAAGGCAAGAUAUCGUUUCUGCAUUACUUCAAAUUGGCACGUCCCAAUUCACAUUGAACAUGACCUCAUUCUGCUCUGGUAAAGAAUUUUAGGAAAUGGAACUUGAGUUUAACGCAUUUGAAAACUAGUUUUCUGGCACAAGGCACACUGGGAGCUGGUACUUGGGUCCACAGUGUGUUGGGAUGGGAUACUCUGUUCUAGAUCAACAUGGAAUGGGAACUGGUGCUGAAGGUUAGAGGGGAGUAAAAAGUAUGGCCAGGCGCAGUGGCUCACGCCUAUAAUCCCAGCACUUCGGGAGGCCGAAGCAGGCGGAUCACCUGAGGUCAAGAGUUCAAAACCAGCCUGGCUAACACGGUGAAACCCCGUCUCUACUAAAAAAUACAAAAAAUUAGCCAGGCGUGGUGGCAGGCGCUUGUAGUCCCAGCUACUUGGGAGGCUGAGGCAGGAGAAUGGCGUGAACCCGGGAGGCGGAGCUUGCAGUGAGCCGAGAUCACGCCACUGCACUCCAGCCUGGGCGACAGAGACUCCGUCUUAGAAAAAAAAAAAAAAAUUUGCCCAGCAUGGUGGCAGACAUCUGUAAUUCCAGCUACUCACGAGGCUGAGACACAAGAAUCCCUUGAACCCAGGAGGCAGAUGUUGCAGUGAGCCGAGAUCACACUACUGUACUCCAGCCUGGGCGACAGAGCGAGACUCCACCUCAAAAAAUAAACUAUGCUCCAGGCCCUGCAGUGCCAGAGACCAGAAAAAGGGCUAGUAACUGUUCUAGAAUGGGUUGGGUUUCACGCUUAUCUGGACCAUACUGGCUUACAAACUGGAAAAUCAGACUCAGAAGGUGCUGGAAAGUAGUUCUUUGUUCCUGAGGUUCAUAUAGAAAUUGCCACUUGUUCCACAAUGUAUUAGGCUGGAAACAAUACUUGGUUCAGAGUGCUUAAGGAGGCCAAGCACGGUGGCUCACGCCUGUAAUCCCAACACUUUGGAAGGCCAAGGCAGGUGGAUCACCUGAAGACCAGCCUGGCCAACAGGAUCAGACCUACUAAAAAUACAAAAAUUAGCCGGGCAUAGUGGCAUGUGCCUGUAAUCCCAGCUACUUGGGAGGCUGACACAGGAGAAUUGCUUGAACUCGGGAGGCAGAGGCUGCAGUGAGCCGAGAUCGCGCCACUGCACUCCAGCCCGGGAGACAGAGCAAGACUCCAUCUCAAAAAAAAAAGAAAGAAAGAAAGAAAAACAGUGAUAAGGAACCAGUAGCCAACUCCAGGAACUAGUGGUCAAUUCUAGUGCUUAGGAGCUGGUUCACAUUUUUCAAUUGCUGGGUUGGGAAGGGGGGCUCAGGUUUACAGUGUGUUGGGAGCUGGUGGUGUAUUUCAUUCUCGGCUCUAUGGGGAGAACUGGGAGUCAGCUCUAGGGUUUUUUUGGAGCAGACAAUCCAUUCUAGAGUUAGCAUUUGUUUCUAGAGCAUUCUUGGACUCAUGUUCAGUUCCAAAGUGGGUAAGUUUCUGGAGCUGGAUCAGGUCUGGAAUAUUCCUAGAACUAAUUCUCAGGUUCAGAGCCCGGUGAUAAUUAGUGACCUACUCGAAAUUGUGGAGCAAGGAAAUUCUGUCUCAAAACAUGCUGGGAACUUGGCCGGACGCUGUCACAUGACCUGCUGGGUUGGGAACUGUUUCUUGGCAAUGGGACAAAGACCUAGAGUUCCGGAUUCUGAACCGUUGGGUUGCUAGCACUUUUCAUUCCCAAACCAGGAGAGCUGUUUUAGGGCAGCCCUCUGACCCCACCACCAACUCAGCUGUCAUCUUGCAUACCCCAUCUCAGCUGUCAUCCUGCAUACCUCUGACCCUAUCUCAGCUGUCAUCCUGCACACCUCUGACCCCAUCUCAGCUGUCAUCCUGCACAUCUCUGACCCAUCACCAUCUCAGCCGUCAUCCUGCACACCUCUGACCCAUCACCAUCUCAGCCAUCAUCCUGCACACCUCUGACUCAUCAGCAUCUCAGCCGUCAUCCUGCACACCUCUGACCCAUCACCAUCUCAGCCGUCAUCCUGCAUACCUUUGACCCAUCACCAUCUCAGCUGUCAUCCUGCACACCUCUGACCCAUCACCAUCUCAGCUGUCAUCCUGCAUACCUUUGACCCCAUCUCAGCUGUCAUCCUGCAUAUCUCUGACCCAUCACCAUCUCAGCUGUCACCCUGCACACCUCUGACCCCAUCUCAGUUGUUGUCCUCCACCAACCGGGUCUAACUUUAUCCCGCUCGCUCUGGGGACACACGUGAUGUCCCCCCCAUCUCCCAGGCUCUCCACCCUGGGCCAAGGAGUCAGAGCAUGGGGCAGGGAGAAGAUCCAAAGGGUGGUGUCCCUGUCUAGUGGGCCCCCUCACCUCUGCCUUCAGGGCGCAUUAGCCCUGAGCCAAGGCGGCUUUGAUGGCGGCCACCAACUUCAGAAACUUGCUUUCUGUGUCCACGUAGCCAUCGCCUUUCUAGGGAGGGGAGGAAGAGGGAAGGGGUGAGCUGGGACCGAGACACCAACCUCAGCCCCAACCCCAUGCUAGCCCCAAAACCAGGCAGGACGGACAGACAGACAUACCUUCUUAGAGUGAAUCAACUUCCCGGCUACCAUCACUUCAAAGAACCCGGUGGCCUGGGGAGUUCCCUCGCCGCACUGAGGAAAGGGGGUAGGGGAGAUGUUGGAGGGGCUAAGAUGUCCUCUUGGGGAGACCCUCCCCUUCCCAGGGGGAUGAGAACAUGGGUGAAGGGCGUAGGGCUGACCUAACCCCCCUGCAGUGCCAUCCAGGCCUAACGGACCGACACAGUGGCUGUGCUCAAGUCUUUCUCCCCAUCCCAAGACUCACGAUGUCCAGGCGGCCGGGGAACUCAUCUUCUAACUUCUUCUUGAGCUGAAGAUACUGAAAACGCGGUGAGAGGUCACAGCAGGGGUCAUACCAGUCAGCCCCCUCCCAAUAUGCACUCUACCCCUCCCCAGCUCCCAGGAAUGCCCCCCGGGCAUCCACUCUGCUUACCUUGGACUUGUAGCCUCAAGCGCCACUGGUAGGAGAGUCCAAGACAUUGGGGCCCAGGGGAGAGAGGGAGAAGUGGGGGAUCGGGGAGAGGAGGGUAGACACAGGCGGUGUGGGGAGAGAGCAAGAUGGGGCCAGGAAGAAAUAAAGAGGAACACAGAUGACCAAGCAGAAGAGGUGACAGAUGCCCUCAAGAGAGAAGACAGGCACCAGCCAGGCAGAGUUUUGGGACACAGCACAGGGGGUGGCGCGGGGACACACAGAGACACACAGAAAACCAACACCAAGCAAGAGACAGAGAAGGGGGAGGGGAAAAAGGGGAGAGAGGAGACAAGGAGACCACAAAUACGAGAGACGGGGACGGGGGAAAACCAGGAGAACUGGAUUAGGAGAAGAACAGCACACGUAAGGUCCCCACCCACUCCCUGUGCCCACCACCCUCACCCACAGCCCUCGCAGCACUCCAAGGAAAACCCUGCGGCUCCUGGAUUCUUACACCACGCCCAGCUAAUUUUUGUAUUUUCACCAUGUUGGCCAGGCUGGUCUCGAACUCCUAACCUCAGGGGAUCGGCCCGCCCCAGCCUCCCAAAGUGCUGAGAUUACAGGCAGGAGCCACCGCACCCGGCCCCGCAGCUCCUAGAUUCUGAACACCUUCCCAGUCCCCAGGGUGAAAUACAGGCUCACCCAACCCCCACAGCAGGCUAUUUCGGGACUGGAAUCUGGUGUACAGGCCUGGUAGGCGUCUCAAAAUGUCACUCUUGCCUCUGCUUUGUCGAGCAGGCAGAGACGUUGGAAAGCUGCCGACAAACCCAGGUUCCAGUUACCCCUGUCACCUGCAGUCCAGACUUGAAGCUACUGACCUGCCCCCACCCCAGUCCCAGCCUCAGUUUUCUCACCUGUAACAUAGAACUAAAAUUCCUCUCUUUAAUUUACUUUUUUUUUUUGAGACAGAGUCUCGCUCUGCUGUCCAGGAUGGAGUGCAGUGGCACGAUUUCAGCUCACUGCAACUUCCGCCUUCCGGGCUCCAGUGAUCCUCCUGCCUCAGCCUCCCAAGCAGCUGCGACUACAGGAGUGCGCCACCAUGCCCGGCUAACUUUUUAAGUUUCUGUAGAGACGAGGGGGGGGUCUCCCUGGGUUGCCCAGGCUGGUCUCGAACUCUUGGGCUCAAGCGAUCCACCCGCCUCAGCCUCCCAGUGUUUGGAUUACAGGCGUGAUCAACGGCACCUGGCCUAAAAUUCCCCUCUCUUAAGGGAUUCCUGGGAGGAUAAAUUCAUUGAACACGUAUUUAUUAAAUACCUACAGCAUGCCACACAGUAUUAGGUGCUGGGGAGUGGAGAGAACGUAAUUUAUAUCCUAUCCUAUUAUACCCUUCCUGAGACUUGCAGAAAUUAAGCGUGUUCGGUAUUGACACAGAGCCUCCCUCUUGCCACAGACGGAAAACUGAGGCCAGAAAAGGAGUGGGGUUCGUGGCCAAGGGAACCCACUGGGCAGAGGCCAACAAUUCAAGUGCUUCUGAAACACAGGCUGAGACAUUCUCGAACCUUCUGGGCUCUCACUGUCCCCACCCCGCGACUGUUCGGGAUAUUGGGGGAGGGGAAGCCUUAGGGUGGAGGAGCCUUAGGUCCCUUUACAAAGCUGACCCCCAGCCCCUUCCCCAGCGGAGCCCCGGAGUCGGGGGUUCGAAAUUGACACACACUCGUCUCAGCCCCACCUUUUAUAACCCGAGAUGCCCAGCGUGUCACAAGUCGAAGACGGGGCCUAGGGACGACCGCCCUCUGUUUUUCGCCCCUCCGUACGCCCACCCCACCCACAUACAGGGGCUCCCUUUUCCCAUACAAGGGCUCCCAUGGGUCCUCUCCCCGGGGCUCCCUGACCCCGGCUCCGAGAAUCGGGUCCCGGCGGGGGUCGGGGACGGGGGCCGCUGGCCGCUGGGCUUACCAAUAAACGACUCGGACGGCGAGAGCCAUGGCUCGGGGCUGCCACAUCCGCUGAGGAGCGGACGCCCGGGCCACACUAACCUCCCACCUGGACGCGCUAGGUCUGCGCGAGUGCGGCGGGAACCUGCGCAGAAAGGAUGGAGCCUCGGCUUCCCCUGGCGCCAACCAAUGCCAGGGAGGGGCGGUGGGCGGUGGGCGGAGAGGCGCCAAGGCGGAGGAUAAGGAACCCGCGACCCGCCAGCCCGAGGCCCCCACACAAGUCUCCUUCCCAUCCUCCUGUUGGGCUGGAGAGAGUCUCGAUACAG